UAUUUGCCAGUUCUUCAAACUAUUCAAAAUUUCCACUACCCGUUCUCCAGAACUGGUCAGAACCUGCUGAAUACCACCUCUGGAUAUACCCAAUAAACAAGUUCUUUGAGGAAUCUACUUGCCUCAUAGUUCUGCUUUCAAUGGGUGUGUUACUUGGAACGCUGACAGUUACAUUGACAAAGGGAAAACUGGACAGAUCCUUGAUUUGAUAUUACUGGAAAGAUCUCCUGCCCAGCUGAUUCCAGAGGCUGCCUGUAGUGGAUGGUUCUUGUCAUCUAUUGAGUCUUAUUGAGCCUGUUCUUCACCCAUCAGUUGCAUUUCCACAACUGUCUUUAGCUAGUUGUCUUCUUCCUCUUGCUUAGUGUGAUGCGUAGGAGAACUUUGUGGCAAACCAAAGGAGUCUCUGUGCUGUGCAUGGGGACGCUCCCCACCUUGGGCAUUUCAGUUUGUGGGCUAAGUGAUGGACACUUGAUGGUUCUUCAACCUGGAGAUGACAAUUUCCAGAAGUUCACGUGAGUAAGAGAUCUGUGGAUGGUGAUGAGGUGGAAGAAGGAUUUAUUUCCUGGCUCUAGCUAACUGACUUUCUUCCUGCAGAGAUAUGUUCCCACGUUGUUACUAUGAUUAUAGUGCUUUCGAUAUAUCCCCAUCUGUUGAAGAGCAGGAGGAGGUCUUACAUGUGUGGCACACCAUGGAGAAACCUGACUUGAUGAAGAUGAAACUGAGCAAAGAUAAAAAGGCCAGAAUCAUUAAGCACAUCAAGUGGACACCGAACAAGCCUUCUAGCUUCGUCACUGUUGCCAGGCUGGUCAAAGACAAAUUAUUAUAUGGUGAUUCAGAGGGAUUUCUCUGGAGUCAGAUUCCGCACAUAGAGGAGGAGGAGGAGGAGGAGGAGGAGACAGAGCAGGAGGAUGAGGAUGAAGAUGAAGAAAAAGAAAAAGAAGAGGAAAAGGAGGAGGAAGUAGAGAAGGAAGAGGAAGAAGUGGAGGAAGAAGAGGAAGACGCAUCUAAGGACUGGCAAAAGAGGAAGGUGAGACAGAUUCAGCAAAAAAUGGUUGCCCAUCUCUCCUAUGUGAGCAAGAAUUAUGUCAUGCCACUUCAGUCAACUGAUUGGCAAAACUACUGUUCCCAUUUACUGAGACCCUUUCCAUGUUGCUGGAGGGAAUGACCCACUUGUCUUAUUCAAAGUCCAUUCUCCUUCACAUAGCAACACCAGUUACUGGAUCCAAUCUGGGUUGAAGACCUGGGCCAGAGGUUUAGUCUUCCGAGUUUUCAGACUAAUGUUGGAACCCAUCCUUAGUAACUUCUCUCUCAC
rnacentral:lncRNA from 1 species